rnacentral:rRNA from 1 species
CUAGCCCUAAACCCAAAUAGUUACAUAACAAAACUAUUCGCCAGAGUACUACUCGCAACUGCCUAAAACUCAAAGGACUUGGCGGUGCUUCACAUCCACCUAGAGGAGCCUGUUCUAUAAUCGAUAAACCCCGAUAGACCUUACCAACCCUUGCCAAUUCAGCCUAUAUACCGCCAUCUUCAGCAAACCCUAAAAAGGAACAAUAGUAAGCACAAUCAUAGCACAUAAAAACGUUAGGUCAAGGUGUAGCUUAUGGGUUG